rnacentral:RNase_P_RNA from 1 species
GGAAACCGCAAGUGUGCAGUCGCUGUAUGGUAUAACCAUGCAGAGGAAAGUCCGAACUUCACAGGGCAGGGUGCCGGUCGAGAACGUUUGUUCAAGACCGGGGGCAGCGGCGCAAGCUGUCUGUCACAGAGAGUGCAACAGAAAGCAAACCGCUCCGGCUUAAACCGGAGUAAGGGUGAAAAGGGGGUGUAAGAGACCACCAGGCAGGUCAGCAAUGCCCUGCGCUAUGAAAACCUCCCCGAAGCAAGGCCAAAUAAGGAAGCAUUUCCUGCAAGGGAAGAAGGGUUGCCCGCCCAAUGUUUCCGGGUAGGCCGCAUCAGAUAAAUGGCUGCAACAUCACUACUUGAUGGUGAUGGACAGAAUUCGGCUUACAGCUUCGGUUUGGAUC